rnacentral:rRNA from 1 species
UACGUAGGGUGCGAGCGUUAAUCGGAAUUACUGGGCGUAAAGCGUGCGCAGGCGGUUUGUUAAGACAGAUGUGAAAUCCCCGGGCUUAACCUGGGAACUGCAUUUGUGACUGGCAAGCUAGAGUAUGGCAGAGGGGGGGUAGAAUUCCACGUGUAGCAGUGAAAUGCGUAGAGAUGUGGAGGAAUACCGAUGGCGAAGGCAGCCCCCUGGGCCAAUACUGACGCUCAUGCACGAAAGCGUGGGGAGCACACAGG